AAAAAGGCAAACCCUAAAUUUGCGUGUCCAACUUUAACUGUCCGUCUUAUAUGAAAUUUUUUUAUAAUUCGUAUUUUUAUUGUUGUUAGAUGAUAAAACAUGAUUAAUAUUUUAUGCGUGACUUGUCUUUUUAAUUUUUUUUAUAAUUUUUUUAAAUAAGACGGACGGUCAAAUGUUGGGCACGAAAACCAGGGUUUGCCUUUUUU
rfam:Oryza barthii chromosome 6, whole genome shotgun sequence.